rnacentral:snRNA from 1 species
CCGGGAUUUUCGCCGGAAAACU